AGGGAUUUAAGGUUUGAUGUUCAAGGUUUAAAGAUAUAUAUAUACUACUAUUUGAAAACUAAUUAAAGAAUAACAUUUUAAUUUUACUGGGAAUCAUGCCACGUUGUAGCACACCUAUAUUAAAUAAUUAAAUAAUAUAAAAUAUAUGUUCUGUACUAAACUAACACAUUGGCGACCCGAAUUUGACUUGAUAUGGUUU
rnacentral:lncRNA from 1 species